GCCCUACGGGAGGCAGCAGUGGGGAAUAUUGGACAAUGGGCGCAAGCCUGAUCCAGCAAUGCCGCGUGGGUGAAGAAGGUCUUCGGAUUGUAAAGCCCUUUCGGCGGGGACGAUGAUGACGGUACCCGCAGAAGAAGCCCCGGCUAACUUCGUGCCAGCAGCCGCGGUAAUACGAAGGGGGCUAGCGUUGCUCGGAAUUACUGGGCGUAAAGGGCGCGUAGGCGGCCUUGUCAGUCGGGCGUGAAAUUCCUGGGCUCAACCUGGGGGCUGCGUUCGAUACGGCGGGGCUAGAGGACGGAAGAGGCUCGUGGAAUUCCCAGUGUAGAGGUGAAAUUCGUAGAUAUUGGGAAGAACACCGGUGGCGAAGGCGGCGAGCUGGUCCGUAACUGACGCUGAGGCGCGACAGCGUGGGGAGCAAACAGGAUUAGAUACCCGAGUAGUCG
rnacentral:rRNA from 1 species